UCUGAUCAUAUAUGUUUGCUGCGGGGAAAAGCCCCAGGGGCUAGACUGAUGUAGCACUUCAAAAGUGUUCCAAUUACCACUUUAGGAGUGAGUUCGGAGUUCUGGUUAGUACUUGAAACUUGGGUCAGUAACUUGUAUUGUCAGUAACUUGGGGCAGAGUUCUCUUCUCUAGAGGUCGGAGAAUCCUCCCGUUGCUGGAAGCCUGGAAGUGUCCACGUCGAUACGUCAAUGUUGUUGUGUCUUUCGUUUCUGUGUGGGUUGCGGGCCUGGUUGGGCCGUCGAUCUUGUUGCGUGCUGGGCCUUUGCUUUCGCUGGCGGCUAUCUUCGGGUGUGUUCUAGAAGGCUCCAUCUUGUUAUGCUAAAAGAAAAGGGCUCCACCGUGUGGCCGAUUGGGUGCUGGUGGGCGUGGUUCCGGGAAGUUGCUCGCUGUCGGCCCUCUCCCGUUCCACUCGUCUGAAGCCGCGACGACGGCGCCGCUCCCGCUCGAUCUGCCGUUGCUUGGUGCGCCCCGGAGCUGCCUCAUCUCCCGCGUGCCUUCGCUCGUAUCUGGAUACUUGUUCUCUAUGGGCUGCGCUGUCAUCUAGGGUUCUUUCUCGAUGGCGCACGGGUGACUCGAUCUCUUCUCGUUCGGCGCUGGCAUCUCCGGAUUCAUGUUCCUGACGGUUUGUUUUUUCUUAGGCGGGUUGAGCUUCUGUCGUCGAUGGGGUAUUUGAAUUUGCUGAUGAGCCACUCCCGUCCCUGCUGCUCCGUGGUUGCGCCGGUGCCGCUCGCCGUCCUGCUGCUGCGCUGCCACCCUUCCUGCUCCUGCCGAAUCCGGUCUCGGCCGUCCUGCCGAGGAGCCGAGCACGGGCAGGUGUGUGGCAUGAAAUUCAGCAAAGAUGCAAGGAAUCAAUUGAGUCAGCUUAUUAAAAAAAUAGCCAAAGGUCCAACAGAUCUGCAAUCAAGGAGGACGUAAGAAAUUGAGGAAAGCUUUUUUGUGUAGGAUAUGGUAAGUGGUAACUAGCUAUCUGAGAGAAUUCUGCAUCACAAUGGUUACCAUGCGGUGCAGGACAACUUGUGCAGGUAUCACCACGUGUAAUUAGUCUAUCUGUCGGAGUAAGUUAGUCACGAUGCUGAGCUCUAAAAGUAUGGAGUGUAAUAAGUAGUAGACACAAGAACUUCAAAUUCUUCGCAAUUGCAGACACUAUCUGAAUAUAAUGCAAACUAAUAAACACACACUUACCUGCAUAUGUUACAUUGCUGCAACAAUCUUAUGCUGGUUUUUUGCUGAAAAUAUUUGACAUGGAAAAAUAAUAAUGGAAAGUCGUCACUUCUUUUUCUUCAGAAAAAAAAACUGCUUGUCAAGGAACACCCAAUUUCAUUAUAUGUUGGGAACUACUUAUGGAGGAUUAAAUACGAAUACAAAUGCCUAAAUCAGUACUAACAUAUAGCACUGGAGCUUAACCUGUAGCACUGGCAGAGAACUUCUUGUACAACUCCUAGGCCUGACAACAACACACAAUUUUGGGAGGCGAAUUUGAACAUGCCAAGAGAAGAAGCAUUAAAGAAAAAAAAAGCGCCGCCUACCUUCGUCUCUCCGACCGGCUCAAGGACGGACUACAGGGAGAUAUUCGGCUGUUGUGAAUCUGGGGACUUCGCUGUGCCAUACGAGGACCUGUUCGCCCAGGGGUCGCGUCGGUGGCGGAGAUCCGCCUCCCCUCGUCCAACGGCAACUCCAGGUGCUGUUGCCGAAAAUCAUUCAGAGAAUCAGAGGUGUGGUUCUUGCAAUCUAGCUUUGGAGGUUGAUAAUGGAAGACCCGCUUAGACCUGGAUGAUGGUUGGCUUUGCUUCACCGAGCUUCUAGGGUUAGCUUUUGCAAGCUGCAAGCUGCAACAUGUGCUAUAUAUGUCGAACUUAAUAGAGUUAGCUGACGAUGGCGGUACGGUUGCUGGUGUUGAGAUAAUGAGAUUCGCUUCCUGUCAUUGUUUUUCACUAACUGCAAAGAUUUUAUGGUGAAGGAUUACGAGCACGUGUAUUUCGCCC